rnacentral:rRNA from 1 species
UACAGAGGUCCCGAGCGUUGUUCGGAUUCACUGGGCGUAAAGGGUGCGUAGGCUGCGCAGCAAGUUGGGUGUGAAAUCCCUCGGCUUAACCGAGGAACUGCGCCCAAAACUGCUGUGCUCGAGGGAGAUAGAGGUGAGCGGAACUUAGGGUGGAGCGGUGAAAUGCGUUGAUAUCCUAAGGAACACCGGUGGCGAAAGCGGCUCACUGGAUCUCUUCUGACGCUGAGGCACGAAAGCUAGGGUAGCGAACGGG